AAGGGAGCGUGUCAGAGCCUGGGAUGGGAGGACCGGUUUUAAGCACAGCUCUGAUGGGCUGGAUUAGCAGCUAAUUCCUCUGGGCCUCUUGGUGUAAAACAACACUGACUAAGUGAGAAGCAGGCUUGGCAUCCCUGCUGGCUCCCACCCUAGGCUUUGCCUCAGGACUGACAGUGCAUCCCGUCCAUCCCUGCCAGAGAUCACAGAGGCGGUGGGAAGCCAGCCCUAUGCUGAAGGCCUUGCCAGGGCCGGGGAUACAGCAGAGACAGCUCACAUCUCUCAACUUUCCUGAGGAAGUUACAUAUACUGGCUGGAUUUAACCCCAGAAUUUUCUGCUUUUCCACCUUCAAGUUUUGAAACAAUAUUAUAUUUGUGGGAGCAGCAGGUCGCUUAUCUCUAGUCGUGCUAGACAGAGCCUCUGUAUAACGCUGGAGGAAGAGGACAGGGCUGCCUAGGACCCCCCAUGUAGGAAACACCCCUCCAUCUCCUGUGCUGCAGCUAGCACUCACUGGGCCCAAGGGAGUCACCCUGGGAACCACCACUUCACCCAGUAGACUGCUUACUAAAGAAUGCUGAGCCAGAAAACAGGCUGGACAAGUGACUUGAAGAUGGAGGGCAGAAGGCUUCCUCUUGAGAUACAUCAACUGGAGACUUUAAGUACCCUGGGGUCAGGCAGAGCCCUCUCUACCCAUGGCUUUAUUUCAGCUCCAACUACUGGAUUAUACACCUGCUGUCACUCAACAGGGACUAAUCUUCUUCAAUGGAUGGUGGUCAAUGAUGCAUGAACUGAAGUUUCCUGAGACAGAAUUAUUUGAGCUGUGGCCUGGCAAGCAAGAUUGGGACCCACAGCUCAUGUCAUGGAGUUUUGGUAGAAGAAUUGGAAAGAGAGGCAGUCAAUUCAGGAACUACUUUGCUCACUUCUGAACUGCUGCCUCCCGGACAAGAUCCCUCCAGCUUGCUUUCUGUGCC
rnacentral:lncRNA from 1 species